UAUGACUGGUCACUGCCAAGGUACAACUGACUGCAUAAGGACUUCUGAACAAGCACCAACAUCCACUACUGUUCAAUACCAGCCACAGAAAUUGCUUCCAGUCGUGAAGCACUAAACCUUUUGGUUGAGAGAUCUGAUCCUCCAGUGGACGUGGAUGAGGAUGAUGGAAACAGCCCCUGA
rnacentral:lncRNA from 1 species